rnacentral:rRNA from 1 species
AUUGAACGCUGGCGGCAGGCCUAACACAUGCAAGUCGAGCGAGCGGCGGACGGGUGAGUAAUGUCUGGGAAACUGCUUGUUGGCGGGGGAUAACUACUGGAAACGGUAGCUAAUACCGCAUACCAUCAGAUGUGCCCAGAUGGGAUUAGCUAGUAGGUGGGGUAACGGCUAACCUAGGCGACGAUCCCUAGAUGGUCUGAGAGGAUGACCAGCCACACUGGAAUGGUGACACGGUCAAGGCUCCUAAGAGAUCGAUAAUCGGGGAAUGUUGCACAAGGGGAGCAAGGAUGAUGCAGCCGUGCCGGGUGCGGGAAGAAGGCGUUCGGGUUUUAAAACUCUUGCGGCGGGGAGGCGUUACCCGCAGAGGAAGCACCGGCGAACUCCGUGCCAGCAGCCGCGGUAAUAC